GACGAACGCUGGCGGCGUGCCUAAUACAUGCAAGUAGAACGCUGAAGGAGGAGCUUGCUUCUCUGGAUGAGUUGCGAACGGGUGAGUAACGCGUAGGUAACCUGCCUGGUAGCGGGGGAUAACUAUUGGAAACGAUAGCUAAUACCGCAUAAUAGUAGAUGUUGCAUGACAUUUGCUUAAAAGGUGCAAUUGCAUCACUACCAGAUGGACCUGCGUUGUAUUAGCUAGUUGGUGGGGUAACGGCUCACCAAGGCGACGAUACAUAGCCGACCUGAGAGGGGGAGCGGCCACGCUGGGACUGAGACACGGCCCAGACUCCUACGGGAGGCAGCAGUAGGGAAUCUUCGGCAAUGGACGGAAGUCUGACCGAGCAACGCCGCGUGAGUGAAGAAGGUUUUCGGAUCGUAAAGCUCUGUUGUAAGAGAAGAACGAGUGUGAGAGUGGAAAGUUCACACUGUGACGGUAUCUUACCAGAAAGGGACGGCUAACUACGUG
rnacentral:rRNA from 1 species